CUGACCUACACGGUCUCGUCAGUUCGAGUGUGUGAUAUUUCGGAACAGAAUCUAGUUCCUUCGAUAUCAAUGUAAUUUAGUAAUCAUGAAAUAUCACAUACUCGAACCGACGUGACCACGUAGCUCAGUUGGAAGAACAUUGGGCUAGUAUUCCAAAGGUUGUAGGUUCGAUUCUCACCGUUGCCCGGCAUAUUUGUCAAGCUUACCCGGUGUGCAUAUACACUCAGAGUAACAUCACAAGCAUCAUAUUCACCUGAGUACAUUACACCAACACAGAAAAAAUCUAGAAUCGUGUCCAAAUUCAACGAAACUGC